AAUAGAUACCCGGGUAGUCCACGCCGUAAACGAUGGAUACUAGCUGUUGGAGGUAUCGACCCCUUCAGUAGCGAAGCUAACGCGUUAAGUAUCCCGCCUGUGGAGUACGGUCGCAAGACUAAAACAUAAAGGAAUUGACGGGGACCCGCACAAGCGGUGGAUCGUGUUCUUUAAUUCGAUGCUAAACGAAGAACCUUACCAGGGUUUGACAUCCCUUGAAUUAAUCCGAAAGGAUUGAGUGCUUUAUUGAACAAGGUGACAGGUGAUGCAUGGCCGUCGUCAGCUCGUGUCGUGAGAUGUUUGGUUAAGUCCAUCAACGAGCGCAACCCUUGCAAGUAGUUGUAUUUUUCUACUUGGACUGCCCCGGUAACGGGGAGGAAGGAGGGGAUGAUGUCAGGUCAGUAUUUCCCUUACAUCCUGGGCUAGAAACACGAUACAAUGGCUAGUACAAUGCGCAGCGAAGCCGCGAGGUGAAGCAAAUCGCAUCAAAAGCUAGUCCCAGUUCGGAUUGGAAGGCUGAAACUCGCCUCCAUGAAGUCGG
rnacentral:rRNA from 1 species